CUUCACAGUGGUGGCAGAAGUUUCUUAUGGGGAAAAACGUCCCCCAAAAGAAGACAAAUCAGGACCACAUUCAGAGAUUUUUCUUUCGGGCAGGUUUGGCUAAGCUGCAGUCUUCUGAAGAUUUGAUCGGAUUGGAGAUCCAACGUGGCUUCUCACAGGGCUGCAGGUGAUGCAAGAGAUGCUCGCUGGGGGUUCGGCUGGGGCUGUAGAUUGGAGCACCCAUCGGUAACCUCUGCAGCAUGACAGCUGAGAGAGUAGGACAUCUUAUGUAGCGACGGCUUCUCCUGUAGCAAGCAUCCUAAGAAAACCAUCCAUAAAUCCAUCCAGAUUCACCUUGAAGGGACCUAGACAAUACCUCUCAAGAAAAGCCCAUUACUCAAAGGAGGAGAAAGAUACAGAAAUGAAGAAUACGGGUGAUGAUGCUGGGGCUGGUAGAGAAAAGGCAGUGCUG